UACGUAGGCAGCAAGCGUUGUUCGGAAUUACUGGGCGUAAAGGGCUCGUAGGCGGCCAACUAAGUCAGACGUGAAAUCCCCAGGCUUAACCUGGGAACUGCGUCUGAUACUGGAUGGCUUGAGAAUUGGGAGAGGGAUGCGGAAUUCCGAGGUGUAGCGGUGAAAUGCGUAGAUAUCUGGAGGAACACCGGUGGCGAAGGCGACAUCCUGGACCAACACUGACGCUGAGGAGCGAAAGCCAGGGGAGCAAACGGGG
rnacentral:rRNA from 1 species